UACGUCUAGGAGGUAUGGAGAUUUCGAUCAUAUUGACAGAAUGGAAACACAUUGGCUCCACCUAUGUCUGGAAAAAUAAUGUACGAGAUUUGGUUUAAAACUUAAGUAAAUUAUAUAGCCUAGACUCAAACCAUUGCCAUGUAGGGCGAAUUCAAACAUACAAAUAGAGCUACUUUUAAAAUGCACAAAAGCAAGAAUAUUAUUCAUGGAAACGGACAAAAAAGGACCCUACGCAAAUAUAAUGUAUAUACAACAAAUUGACACCAACGCAGCCCAAACUCAGCGCUCGAAUUCCUUAUGCAUGAGACGACACCGACUUGGGCAGCGGAUCGCACAUUAUUUGGCAGGUGCCAGUGAAGCAAAACUCAAAACUUUCUUUGCCCGAAGGGCGGGCACACGCCUCUAUUAAAUUUGUAAAAUUAUUAGAUAUGCGGGACAUGUAGCAAACGAUUAACACGCAAAGCCGCCAAAAAAAAAGCCACCUGAGAUCUAUCUGUGUCUAGGAAAACAUUUCUUUCGGUUUUGGAUAUCAUACUAAAGCAAAUAUUUAACAUUGUUAUUCCUCAUUUUUCGUAUAAUAACGUUAAGAUAUCCCUUUUCUAUCGACGAA